rnacentral:rRNA from 1 species
GACGAACGCUGGCGGCGUGCUUAACACAUGCAAGUCGAACGGAAAGGCCCUGCUUUUGUGGGGUGCUCGAGUGGCGAACGGGUGAGUAACACGUGAGUAGCCUGCCCUUGACUUUGGGAUAACUUCAGGAAACUGGGGCUAAUACCGGAUAGGAGCUCCUGCUGCAUGGUGGGGGUUGGAAAGUUUCGGCGGUUGGGGAUGGACUCGCGGCUUAUCAGCUUGUUGGUGGGGUAGUGGCUUACCAAGGCUGUGACGGGUAGCCGGCCUGAGAGGGUGACCGGCCACAUUGGGACUGAGAUACGGCCCAGACUCCUACGGGAGGCAGCAGUGGGGAAUAUUGCACAAUGGGCGGAAGCCUGAUGCAGCAACGCCGCGUGCGGGAUGACGGCCUUCGGGUUGUAAACCGCUUUCGCCUGUGACGAAGCGUGAGUGACGGUAAUGGGUAAAGAAGCACCGGCUAACUACGUG